GAUGAACGCUGGCGGCGUGCCUAAUACAUGCAAGUCGAGCGAACAGACGAGGCGCUUGCUCCUCUGACGUUAGCGUCGGACGUGCGAGUAACACGUUGAUAACCUACCUAUAAGACUGGGAUAACUUCGGGAAACCGGAGCUAAUACCGGAUAAUAUAUUGAACUUCAUGGUUCAAUAGUAAAAGACGGUUUUGCUGUCUCUUAUAGAUGGCUCCGCGCCGCAUUAGCUAGUUGGUAAGGUAACGGCUUACCAAGGCAACGAUGCGUAGCCGACCUGAGAGGGUGAUCGGCCACCCUGGAACGGAGACACGGUCCAGCCUCCUACGGGAGGCAGCAGUAGGGAAUCUUCGGAAAUGGGGGAAAGCUUGACGGAGCAACGCCGCGUGAGUGAUGAAGGUCUUCGGAUCGUAAAACUCUGUUAUUAGGGAAGAACAAAUGUGUAAGUAACUAUGCACGUCGUGACGGUACCUAAUCAGAAAGCCACGGCUAACUACGUG
rnacentral:rRNA from 1 species